GCUGCUGUCCCAUUUUGUAGACGGGAAAACUGUGGCACAGAGGUGAAAAAGACUUACUUAUAUGGAUAGAUUGCAUCAAAAUUCAAGCCGAGGUUCUGAUCCUAACGCCUGUGCUCCAAACUAGAGUCCUCCUGUGCACAUUUCAUGUCUGGAAUUAUUAUAAAGCAUUUUGCAAUGACUAAAAUAGGCACAUGAAUGAAGAUGUAUACAGGUCUGCCUGAGACGAGACGCGAAGCCAAAGCCCAGCUCAGCAAGGUCAGAGAAUUUCAGCGUAUCUCCAUGGGCUGCUGGAACUUCGUCUGGGUGCGUUUGUUUUUAUAAGCCUGGGUACUGCACAGUCACUUAAAAACAUGUGCUUGCCAGAGCAGAACAUCAUCUGAUGGCAGCAACCACCUGGUGCUGGCCAUGACUGAGGAGGGAACACAUCAGGAAAAAGCAACACUUCUCUCCAUCUGCGCGAGGUGGACGCCAAAGGCCUGUUUAUUCCACCACCUCGAAUGUAAAUAAAUAGAGCCCUGGCCUUCCUACAGGGCUCUGGUGCUCCUUUCAUAAUGUGAGAUCCAUUUAGAUUCAGCAGGAGAACUUCUCUAAGGCCAUGAUAAAGGCAGUAGGAAGUACCGAUCUCCAACAGCACAUAGGAGGCUCCCCUCCAAAGAAGAGUGAAGCACAUCAUUAGAGAAUAAGAACACAGGGGGAAAUUAAGAGGUGAUCUUCAAAGGCUACAAUGAACAGCUCCUCUCUGCUUUCACACACUGUACAAGAGAAGACUUCCUUCAGUUCAGGAGGCUUUGGUUAACAGCCACAUUCUCAAUAUUCUGAGUUUCAAGGACAACACAAUAAAUGUCACGGUGGAAACCUCAUGCUUUUUCAGGUGAUAUGAUCCAAAAAAAAUGUGUACAUCUCAAUAGUAUAAAGGACUCUGAAUCAGCCAGGGCUCAACUUGCUAUUCUCUUCCUUUCCUGCAAGACUUGGCCUUGAGUUUCAGGGUCUCUCAGCCGUACUUCUGCUUCCUGGUGACUAGAAACCAGGAUUCUCUCCCAUUUACUACUAGGGAAAACCCUACUGCUAAGGACCGUAAAUGUCGGGGGAUGACCCUGAGUCUCACAGAUGGCACUUGAAGAGGAGCAGUGUGGAGACAUAGGACACGAAGAAGGAAACAGAGACCCUGAGGACAGAGGCUCAUCCGACAACUGCAAAUGAACAAACACCAAAACAGGCAUUUUUGCACUUUCAGACAGGGAGUUCCAGGACUGAGUGCACAUAUAGUCCAUGGUUAGAUUUCCAGGAAAGCCUCCGUGGGGGGCUGAAUUAUAUGCCAUUAACACAAGAUGCAGCCAUCUUGGGAGUCAGCAUAUCUGUCUGAGCCCAGGUUAUAAGUGCACACUGGUGAUUUAUGGUUGGGGGCCGGUGUCACUGUCCUGUCACAGUCCUGAGAUCUCCAAAGCAGCCCAGGUGACACAUAUGUCCCUGUCUUUGACUCUCCUCCAGGCCAACUCUGUGAUAUUACUAUCAAGGCUCCAAAAUGUAGCUGUUUUGCUACAUAAAUUAUGAAUAAGUUCUACAAACUUCUUGAACCAUCUGGAAAGUGCUCAAAACACAAGACUGCACAGACAAGGAC